AGAGUUUGAUCAUGGCUCAGAUUGAACGCUGGCGGCAGGCUUAACACAUGCAAUCAACCGGGGGAAGGUAGCUUGCUACUGGACCUAGCGGCGGACGGGUGAGUAAUGCUUAGGAAUCUGCCUAUUAGUGGGGGACAACAUCUCGAAAGGGAUGCUAAUACCGCAUACGUCCUACGGGAGAAAGCAGGGGAUCUUCGGACCUUGCGCUAAUAGAUGAGCCUAAGUCGGAUUAGCUAGUUGGUGGGGUAAAGGCCUACCAAGGCGACGAUCUGUAGCGGGUCUGAGAGGAUGAUCCGCCACACUGGGACUGAGACACGGCCCAGACUCCUACGGGAGGCAGCAGUGGGGAAUAUUGGACAAUGGGGGGAACCCUGAUCCAGCCAUGCCGCGUGUGUGAAGAAGGCCUUAUGGUUGUAAAGCACUUUAAGCGAGGAGGAGGCUACUUUAGUUAAUACCUAGAGAUAGUGGACGUUACUCGCAGAAUAAGCACCGGCUAACUCUGUGCCAGCAGCCGCGGUAAUACAGAGGGUGCGAGCGUUAAUCGGAUUUACUGGGCGUAAAGCGUGCGUAGGCGGCUUAUUAAGUCGGAUGUGAAAUCCCCGAGCUUAACUUGGGAAUUGCAUUCGAUACUGGUGAGCUAGAGUAUGGGAGAGGAUGGUAGAAUUCCAGGUGUAGCGGUGAAAUGCGUAGAGAUCUGGAGGAAUACCGAUGGCGAAGGCAGCCAUCUGGCCUAAUACUGACGCUGAGGUACGAAAGCAUGGGGAGCAAACAGGAUUAGAUACCCUGGUAGUCCAUGCCGUAAACGAUGUCUACUAGCCGUUGGGGCCUUUGAGGCUUUAGUGGCGCAGCUAACGCGAUAAGUAGACCGCCUGGGGAGUACGGUCGCAAGACUAAAACUCAAAUGAAUUGACGGGGGCCCGCACAAGCGGUGGAGCAUGUGGUUUAAUUCGAUGCAACGCGAAGAACCUUACCUGGCCUUGACAUACUAGAAACUUUCCAGAGAUGGAUUGGUGCCUUCGGGAAUCUAGAUACAGGUGCUGCAUGGCUGUCGUCAGCUCGUGUCGUGAGAUGUUGGGUUAAGUCCCGCAACGAGCGCAACCCUUUUCCUUACUUGCCAGCAUUUCGGAUGGGAACUUUAAGGAUACUGCCAGUGACAAACUGGAGGAAGGCGGGGACGACGUCAAGUCAUCAUGGCCCUUACGGCCAGGGCUACACAC
rnacentral:rRNA from 1 species